rnacentral:rRNA from 1 species
CCUACGGGAGGCAGCAGUGGGGGAUAUUGGUCAAUGGGCGCAAGCCUGACCCAGCAACGCCGCGUGAAGGAAGAAGUCUUUCGGGUUGUAAACUUCUUUUCUGAGGGACGAAGAAAGUGACGGUACCUCAGGAAUAAGCCACGGCUAACUACGUGCCAGCAGCCGCGGUAAUACGUAGGUGGCAAGCGUUAUCCGGAUUUACUGGGUGUAAAGGGCGUGUAGGCGGUAAUGCAAGUCAGAAGUGAAAACUCAGGGCUCAACCCUCAGACUGCAUUGGAAACUGUUUUUCUUGAGUGCUGGAGAGGCAAGCGGAAUUCCGAGUGUAGCGGUGAAAUGCGUAGAUAUACGGAGGAACACCAGUGGCGAAGGCGGAUUGCUGGACAGUAACUGACGCUGAGGCGCGAAAGCGUGGGGAGCAAACAGGAUUAGAUACCCCAGUAGUC